rnacentral:lncRNA from 1 species
UUUUUUUUUUUUUGAGACGGAGUUUCGCUCUUUUUGCCCAGGCUGGAGGGCAAUGGCGCCGUCUCGGCUCCCUGCAGCCGCCGCCUCCCGGGUUGAAGGGACUCUCCGGCCUCAGGCCGCGGUGUUCUUGUAAAUUAGAACCGGCCUAUGCGCCAAGCGCGGGUCUCGCGGCUGCGGAGAGAGGCCCAGCAGGGGGCGGGGACGCCGGGAGGCGGGGCCUGGCCGAGCUGCGCACACCCGGGUGGUUCUGGCUACGGGUACCCGGACCUGCCCAACGACCGUUCUCCAUUCCCGACCUCCGCACCCUACCCGGUCCGCAGGGCACCUUCCUCCUCUCUCUCAGGCACGUCCUCGACCUCAGUUGCCACGUGCACAUGCUGGUGCCUUCCAGGCUGGAGUAUAGUGGCAUGAUCAUAGAUCACUGCAGCCUCAAACUCCUGGGCUCAAGCGAUCCUCCCACCUCAGCCUCCAUAUAGCUGGUGGGGACCAAGUUUCUAACACAUGAAUGUUGGGAGACACAUUCAGACCAUCGCAGUGGCCUUAUAAAAAGAGACACAAGAGCUUGCUCUCUGCCAUGUGAGAAUACCACAAGAAGACUGUCCUCAGCAAAUCAGAAAGCGGGUGGACCCUCAUCAGACACCAGAUGUGCCUGCACCUUGAUCUUGGACUUGCCAGCCUUCAGAACAGUAAGAAAGAAAUGUGUGUUGUUUAAGCCACCCAGUCUAUGGUAACUUGCUAUAGCAGCCCACUAGGAGACCCCAAGAUAUUUAAAAACUCAUCAGCACCUGCUUUCUGCAUCUGGACCCUGAUCUUCUGGUGGGUUUACCAGUUACUUGUAGAGUGUCCCUGUGAUAGUUUUAGGUGUCAACUUGACAGGAUUGAGGGAUGCCUAGAUGGCUGGGGAAGCACUGUUUCUGAGAAGGACCAUGUUUUUGGAGGAGACUGUUUUAUGAGUGAAUUUCAGGGGACACAUUCAGAUCAUGGCAGUGGCAUUAUAAAGAGAGACACAAAAGCUUGCUCUCUCUCUCUGCCAUGUAAGACUACCACACAAAGACUGCCAUCUGCAAACCAGAAGCAGGUGGGCUUUCCUCAGACACCAGAUCUGCCUGCACCUUGAUCUUGGACUUGCCAGCCUUCAGAACUCUAAGAAAGAAAUGGUAGCAUGGCUUGGUCUAAGUUGGAAGGCCUGAGAAACAAGCACAUGGUGGAACUGAGUUCAAGGAUAAAGACUUGAGAAUACCUGCUCAGUGGACUGAGUAGGGAAGAUCAACCCUCAAUGUAGGCAGGCACUAUCCAAUCACCUGAGGGCCCAGAUGGAACAAAAAGGUGGAAGAAGGGUGAAUUCUCUCUUCCAGAGCUGUGACACCCUUCUCAUGCCCUUGUACCACACAACUCUAGGUCCUUUGGCCUUUGGACUCUGACACUUGCACCAGUGGCCCUCUGGGGCUCUCAAGCCUUUAGCCUUGAACUUAGUUACACCAUGUGCCUCCUUGUUUCUCAGGCCUUCCAACUUGGAUCAGGCCAUGCCACCGGCUUCUCUGAUUCUCCAGCUUGCAGAUGGUAUAUUGUGACCCUGGCAUUUAAUAACUAUGACUUUGGUCUUAAGCAAUUUUCUUCCUCUGUGGAUUGAUAUUUACAUAUCAAUGUGGAUAAUAAUUUCUUACCACGGUAACUGUUGUGAGGUAAAAAUGAGUUAACAUAAGUAAAACCGAGCACAUGCAAACCAUCCGAAAUGGUUAAUACUUACUAUUUGUACUUGAAGAAAUAAAUGUUUUUGACAAUAAACUUCUUGUGCAGUUUUCCUCAGCCAGUGUCAA